GGUGAACGCUGGCGGCGUGCCUAAUACAUGCAAGUCGAGCGAACGGACGAGAAGCUUGCUUCUCUGAUGUUAGCGGCGGACGGGGGAGUAACACGUGGAUAACCUACCUAUAAGACUGGGAUAACUUCGGGAAACCGGAGCUAAUACCGGAUAAUAUUUUGAACCGCAUGGUUCAAAAGUAAAAGACGGUCAUGCUGUCACUUAUAGAUGUAUCCGCGCUGCAUUAGCUAGUUGGUAAGGUAACGGCUUACCAAGGCAACGAUGCAUAGCCGACCUGAGAGGGUGAUCGGCCACACUGGAACUGAGACACGGUCCAGACUCCUACGGGAGGCAGCAGUAGGGAAUCUUCCGCAAUGGGCGAAAGCCUGACGGAGCAACGCCGCGUGAGUGAUGAAGGUCUUCGGAUCGUAAAACUCUGUUAUUAGGGAAGAACAUAUGUGUAAGUAACUGUGCACAGCUUGACGGUACCUAAUCAGAAAGCCACGGCUAACUACGUG
rnacentral:rRNA from 1 species